rnacentral:rRNA from 1 species
UCUGGUGGCUAUAGCAAGGAGGUCACACCUGUUCCCAUGCCGAACACAGAAGUUAAGCUCCUUAGCGUCGAUGGUAGUCGAACUUAAGUUCCGCUAGAGUAGAACGUUGCCAGGC